CCUUUAGAGUUUGGAUCCUGGCUCAGAUUGAACGCUGGCGGCAGGCCUAACACAUGCAAGUCGAGCGGUAACAUUUCUAGCUUGCUAGAAGAUGACGAGCGGCGGACGGGUGAGUAAUGCUUGGGAACAUGCCUUGAGGUGGGGGACAACCAUUGGAAACGAUGGCUAAUACCGCAUAAUGUCUACGGACCAAAGGGGGCUUCGGCUCUCGCCUUUAGAUUGGCCCAAGUGGGAUUAGCUAGUUGGUGAGGUAAAGGCUCACCAAGGCGACGAUCCCUAGCUGGUUUGAGAGGAUGAUCAGCCACACUGGAACUGAGACACGGUCCAGACUCCUACGGGAGGCAGCAGUGGGGAAUAUUGCACAAUGGGCGCAAGCCUGAUGCAGCCAUGCCGCGUGUGUGAAGAAGGCCUUCGGGUUGUAAAGCACUUUCAGUCAGGAGGAAAGGUUAGUAGUUAAUACCCUGCUAAGCUGUGACGUAC
rnacentral:rRNA from 1 species